UAUCAGGAUAAUAGUGGAUGUGAAGUGCCGGAGACCAGCUCCAGUUGCAAGGUUCAGGUCCUGAGACAGGGAAGGGGUGAAGACACUGAAGGGGUGAAGACACUGAGCACCUGUUGACUUUCAACAGCUGACAUGGGAGAUGAAGAACCUGUAAGCAGUGAUAACACAUGAAGGAUUAGAACUCAGGAUCCCAUGAUCUUAAGAAGGAAAAGACUUAUGAGAACCAUCAAGAUAAAAUAGAAACAUACAGAAGGAAACAGACAGCUUUACAGAUGGAUGAACCGUAAAUGUGCUCCCAGGUGGUUGAGAGAUAUUGCUGAUGUCUGUUCAUAGCAAGGUUAUAGAGUACUGAGAUUUGAAAGAAAGCAUCAAGAAAUUGCAACAUGAAUGAUGGAUGAAGUAAAUCAAGAUGGAUUAACAGCUGUGGUAUAGCUGUGAGCAUUGCAAAGCAUCAUGCAAGCACAGGCAGAGCACACUUGGAACUAGAAAGAGGAAGACUGGAGAGCUACACAGAUUUCCAAGUACUUUAACUUUUCAGUCCUUUGUUCAUCUUGAUGGCUUUUAGGCCUCUAUCAAAGCUCUGCUUUUAUUUUGAGAACUCUGUCUUUCCUUCAAUAUUGUAACAUCCCUUUAUCCAUUUAAAUAAAACACAUCUUGUUU